AACGUAGGAGGCAAGCGUUAUCCGGAGUAACUGGGCGUAAAGGGCGGGUAGGUGGUUGUGUAAGUUGGUUAUGAAAGCUCCUGGCUAAACUGGGAGAGGUUGACCAAGACUGCAGAACUUGAGUGGAGAAGAGGUAAACGGAAUUCCGCGUGUAGUGGUGAAAUGCGUAGAGAUGCGGAAGAACACCAGUGGCGAAGGCGGUUUACUGGUCUCCAACUGACACUGAGCCGCGAAAGCUAGGGGAGCAAACGGG
rnacentral:rRNA from 1 species